CUUGGCUGCACCCGUCUGAGUUUGGGAAUCCAAGAUGGCCACCCGGUCUCCUCUGUUAGCCUCCAGCCAACCACCUGCAGGAAGAGGGUUUGAUCUAAACGUCAGAAGCUAUCGAGUGGGAUGGUUUUUCUGCUGGUGUAUCCUGAGGUAUCUCCUCUGAGAACCUCUUCCCGCAGUGCGUACAGGCAAAGGGCCUCUCUCCCGUGUGGACCUUCAGGUGCAUCUUCAGCUGGUGCUGGUGGGAGAAUCUCUUCUCACACUGGGGGCCGCUGUAGGUUUCUCCUCUGUGUGGACCCUCUGGUGCCUUUUCAGGUUGAAUGAGUGGGAGAAACUGGCCCUGCAAAGGUGGCAGCUGAACGGUUUCUCCCCUGUGUGGACCCUCUGGUGCCUCUUCAGGUUUCCAGCCUCAGCGAAGCGCAUAUGACACUGGGUACAGCUGAAGGGUUUCUCCCCUGUGUGGACCCUCUGGUGCAUCUCCACCUUCUGGAUGCAGCUGAAGCCUUUGUUACAGAACAUGCAGAGGAACCGUUUCGCUUUACCAUUGCCUGACGUUGCGACCCCUCCCUGAGCCUGGGCUCUUGCCCUGUCGUUUGAGUUCAAUACCUGAUCAAAAAGGACGCGGCCAUGCAAAUCAGAAGGCCCCAUCAACUUGGACACUGGGUCGCAUUCCCUUAACAUGUGUAAAGGGGAGUAGGUAGCAACAUUUAGAUUUGUCUCUAAGCUUUCCCUGUAGUCUAAGAAUUCACCGGUGUUGCCCUGUGAGUGUCGUUCUCUUAAGUGAGUUUCGUCUGGAUUCCAUGUCAGAGGAGCAUCGCCCUCCACUUUCACAGUCAUUUCAUCUACGACCAGACCCUCCCCGUUCUUAUCUAGGCACCCUUCAGAGUAUACACUACUACUGCACCGGUUCCAGUUCCCUCUCAUUUGAUUAGUCUGUUUAUCUAGACCCACAGGCAUGUCACCAGGUAUCAUCUCUGUCUCUGUAACAUAUGAACAGGAUGGAUCAUUGCCAGUCUGUAAUGUGUCACCCGAGUCCCGGUGGGACAGAACCGACCUCGGGCUCAGGUUACCGUGAAGUAAAUACUCUGAGCGGGGGAGAGGAGGACAGUCCAGUCGCUCCAGCACCGUUAAAGUCUUUGUAUCCGUCUCUGACUUGAGGACGGUGUUCGGCGCUCCACUGACCUCCAUGAUGCUGCGUCGGCUCCUGGGCUGCACUGGGGUGGUGGUGAGGUCCUCCGUGGCUACAGCGGGCACUCCAGUCUGGUUGUCGCUGCUGUGUUGUGGGUCCUCCUCUCCUUCAGACCUUUCCAGCUUGACCCCAGGACCUGCAGCAUCUGCAGACUGACACAAGAAGAGAGGUUAUUAUGAUAGUCCUGCCUACUUCCUGUUUCCAGUCCCAUAUGGAUUUUGAACGUGCUUCAAGCUUAUAUCAAAUUCAUGAAAACGCAGUCCUAAGAUUAAUAAAAUGGUAUUCAUUUGAUCAAAUCCGAAAACAUUUGACGCUCAAGAAGUAAGACACAUUGGCGAAAGUUAGUCUCAUUUGAACUACAACUGAGCAGCCUUGUUAGCAUGGUUGUGCGAGUUGAGGACUCGCAGGACAAUAAAACCCUGUAGUUACUGUCAGUUUUAUGUAUUUUAUAUUAGAUUACACUUGAACCUUUUUACUGAACGUUGCCAGCCAGUACUUUUUAAAAAGGCAACAGCAAACACCGGCAAACUGUUGAAAGACAAAGACUUGUACAGCUGGUGGGAGUUGUAGUUCUAAUUAAACAGUUCUAACUUUUCGGCUUUGUGCUUCUUGACUGUCAAAUAAGUUGAAAACCGGUAUAUGGUAACUAAAUUCACUCGGAAACACAUUUAUGUCUUAUGACUGCGUUUUAUGAAUUUCACAAUGCAAAUUAUUAACCUACAAAACGAGGAACAAGAUAUGCACCAUGAAAGUUGUACUUAGGCAACAAUGGGCUUGAUUGAGUAGUAAGAAACCCACUAGACGUAAGCCGAGGAGUGAAAUCGGGAGGUGCAUCUGCCACAGCCAAAAGUCAGACACUGUAGUGGUUUUCCAACCACAAGGCCCAGAUCAACAUGGCAGUGUCCAAAUAGCUGCUAUUGUUUAUAAAAGUUUGUCUGUAUGAAUGUCAAAAUAAACUUUUAUAUAACCCCAUAUCACACACUCAAACUGGAAACAUAACACGUGUACAAUUAGAGACGUCUCACAUCACUUUACAUUUUGUACCUUUGAAAUAUCGCAAACGUAGUUCCUUUUUCAGCCACGUAUUUGGCCACAUUUGCGUGGGUCAAACAAAAACACACUAAUGAUUGCUUGACAAAUAGUGCCUCCUACAAUGUAUCUGACGGCUUCAUGGCGACUUGAAGUAGAGAGGAAGAGGCGAUGCGAAAGAGGCAUACAAUAUCUUCUCCAGCAGGUGGCGUUUCUUUUUUUGCUCACUAAGUGUGGAGUUUUUAUUUGGAGUUCAAUGUGUGUCGAAUUUGGUUAACAAAAAUUGCUAUGCCUUAUUUGCUACAUGUGGCUUAUCUGAUUGAAUAUAAUUUUUGUAAUAGGUUGUUUUGAGUGUACUGAUAUAUACACUGAACAAAAAUAUAAAAGCAACAUGGAAAGUGGUGGUCCUAUGUUCCAUGAGCUGAAAUAAAAGAUCCCAGAAAUGUUCCAUACACACACAAAGCUUAUCUCUCUCAAAUGUAGUGCACAAAUGUAUUUACAUCCCUGUUAGUGAGCAUUUCUCCUUUGCCAAAAUAAUCCGUCAUUGCACGGGUUCACCUUGUGCCGGGGACAAUAAAAGGCCACUAAAAUGUGCAGUUGUCACACAAUGGCACAGAUGACUCAAGGUUUGAGGGAGUAGGCAAUUGGCAUGCUGACUGCAGGAAUGCCCACCAGAGCUGUUGCCAGAGAAUUAAAUGUUAAUUUCUCUACCAUAAACCAUCUCCAAAGUUGUUUUAGAGAAUUUGGCAGUACGUCCAACCAGCCUCACAACCGCAGACCAUGUGUAUGGCGUCGUGAGGUGAGCGGUUUGCUGUCAAUGUUGUAAACAAAGUGCCCCAUGGUGGGGUUAUGGUAUGGGCAGGCAUAAUCUACGGACAACGAACACCAAUUGUAUUUUAUUGAUGGCAAUUUGAAUGCACAAAGAUUUUGUCAUGAGAACCUGAGGCCCAUUUUUUUUUUAGGUAUCUGUGACCAGAUCUGUAUUUCCAGUCGUGAAAUCCAUAGAUUAGGACCUAAUGAAUUUAUUUCAAUAUGCCAUACCUGUCAAGUGGAUGGAUUACCUUGGCAAAAGAGAAAUGCUUACUAACAGGGAUCUACACAAAUAUGUGCCCAAAAUUUGAAAGAAAUUUCAGGGAUCGUUUAUUUCAGCUCAUGAAACAUGGGACUAACAGUUUGUGUUGCAUUUGUGUUUUUGUUCAGUGUAAAUAUUAUUGGCAACAGAAUAAAUAGCAGAAGAAUAACUGCAGAUUAAAUAAUGCUGUAAUUGAAAAUUGUACACCCAAUGUAAGCUACUGACCCUUAAGAAUUUGAUAACAAUGUCAUUGGGAAGUCUCACAAGCUCCCCUAUGGCAGAUAAAUAAGGAUGUCCAUGUAAACAAGUGAAUAGCUGAGGGGAGCCUUUCUGAAAUAAACUGGCCACAUUUUA